rnacentral:rRNA from 1 species
GAGAACUGAGGGGGGCUGCUCCUAGUACGAGAGGACCGGAGUGGACGCAUCACUGGUGUUCGGGUUGUCAUGCCAAUGGCACUGCCCGGUAGCUAAAUGCGGAAGAGAUAAGUGCUGAAAGCAUCUAAGCACGAAACUUGCCCCGAGAUGAGUUCUCCCUGACUCCUUGAGAGUCCUGAAGGAACGUUGAAGACGACGACGUUGAUAGGCCGGGUGUGUAAGCGCAGCGAUGCGUUGAGCUAACCGGUACUAAUGAACCGUGAGGCUUAACCUUACAACGCCGAAGGUGUUU